rnacentral:rRNA from 1 species
UACGAAGGGGACUAGCGUUGUUCGGAAUCACUGGGCGUAAAGCGCACGUAGGCGGAUUCGUAAGUCAGGGGUGAAAUCCCGGGGCUCAACCUCGGAACUGCCUUUGAUACUGCGGGUCUUGAGUCCGAUAGAGGUGGGUGGAAUUCCUAGUGUAGAGGUGAAAUUCGUAGAUAUUAGGAAGAACACCGGUGGCGAAGGCGGCCCACUGGCUCGACACUGACGCUGAGGUGCGAAAGCGUGGGGAGCAAACAGG